rnacentral:lncRNA from 1 species
GAGGAUAGUACUUAUGAGAAAUCUCUGGAAGUCAAUGUGAGUGAGAGGUAUGUCUCCAGUAUGACCUAAUGUCUAAUAUCAACAGCCUGUUCUGCUUAGCACAUGUCAUGCAAUUGGAGUAUGACCAUAAGCUACCGCCAGUGCCCCUAAAACAUAGCAGAACUGAGUAACUUGGGAGAGCUUAACUCUUUCAGUAACUAAGUGGAGGAGCAACCCACACAGGUGAGCAGCCUUCAAAAAUUCAAGCACCUGAACCUUGGCAUGAACAGACUGAAUGUUGGCCACAGGAUUUGGCUCUCUCUCAGUUUUUGAGGCACUAGAAUUAUCUUAAAACAAUAUGAAUGAAUAUUCUUUCCCCCAGAAACUUCUACUAUAUGACUCUGUGUAUACUCUGCCUAAGCCACUUUCUUGAAGUAAAGCUGAAGGUACACAGCUGUAGGGAUAAGUACUUGAUCUCACUGAAAAGGGAAACUAGAUAGCUAACCCCAGCUCAAGGAGCUCCACCUUCAAGGGAACUGCCUGCUCUCCAGCUUCCAAGGCUAAAAACUUGGAUUUAACUGGUCAGGACCAUAUCUUCAGAUAAGACAACCCUUGAGAUACACCAAGCUCUGAUCAUCUCUAGCUUUGUCUUGCCCAUGUUUCUAAAUAUACCUAUUUUAAAUCCUACAAUAGCCUCUGUGGAAAACACAUGAGGGCAAAGCCAGCAUCCUCAGAAAAGAAUAACAGCAAAUGAGCAAUUAGCCCCAAACCCUAA